rnacentral:rRNA from 1 species
UACGGAGGGUGCAAGCGUUAUCCGGAUUCACUGGGUUUAAAGGGUGCGUAGGUGGGAAUGUAAGUCAGUGGUGAAAUCUCCGUGCUUAACAUGGAAACUGCCAUUGAUACUAUGUUUCUUGAAUUUUCUGGAGGUAAGCGGAAUAUGUCAUGUAGCGGUGAAAUGCGUAGAUAUCGGGAGGAACACCAGAGGCGAAGGCGGCGCACUGGACGGCAACUGACACUCAACUGCGAAAGCGUGGGGAGCAAACAGG